rnacentral:rRNA from 1 species
UACGGAGGGUGCGAACGUUAAUCGGAAUCACUGGGCGUAAAGCGCGCGUAGGCGGUCUGUUAAGUGGGAUGUGAAAUCCCCGGGCUUAACCUGGGAAUUGCAUUUCAAACUGGCCGACUAGAGUACGGUAGAGGGAGGUAGAAUUUCCUGUGUAGCGGUGAAAUGCGUAGAGAUCGGGAGGAACACCAGUGGCGAAGGCGGCUACCUGGACCAGCACUGACACUGAGGCACGAAAGCGUGGGGAGCAAACAGG